GAAACCUUUAAUUUGAUCCCGUGAGGUCAAUAAGGAAGUUAUAUAAUGUCAUUUUAAGAAGUUUAGCAUUAUUAAGCCUUCCUAUUUUUAGGAAGGCUUUUUUUAAA
rfam:Clostridium cavendishii DSM 21758 genome assembly, contig: EJ30DRAFT_scaffold00003.3